rnacentral:piRNA from 1 species
UGUCAAGGUAAAGCAGUGUCCUGUGACGC